rnacentral:rRNA from 1 species
GUACUACUGGAAACCGGAGCUAAUACCGGAUAAUAUUUCGAACCGCAUGGUUCGAUAGUGAAAGGUGGUUUUGCUAUCACUUAUAGAUGGACCCGCGCCGUAUUAGCUAGUUGGUAAGGUAACGGCUUACCAAGGCGACGAUACGUAGCCGACCUGAGAGGGUGAUCGGCCACACUGGAACUGAGACACGGUCCAGACUCCUACGGGAGGCAGCAGCG